rnacentral:rRNA from 1 species
UCCCAGACUCCUACGGGAGGCAGCAGUGGGGGAUAUUGCACAAUGGGGGAAACCCUGAUGCAGCGACGCCGCGUGGGCGAAGAAGUAUUUCGGUAUGUAAAGCCCUAUCAGCAGGGAAGAAGAAAUGACGGUACCUGAGUAAGAAGCACCGGCUAAAUACGUGCCAGCAGCCGCGGUAAUACGUAGGGGGCAAGCGUUAUCCGGAUUUACUGGGUGUAAAGGGAGCGUAGACGGUUACGCAAGUCUGGAGUGAAAGGCGGGGGCCCAACCCCCGGACUGCUUUGGAAACUGUAUAACUGGAGUGCAGGAGAGGUAAGUGGAAUUCCUAGUGUAGCGGUGAAAUGCGUAGAUAUCAGGAGGAACACCGGUGGCGAAGGCGGCCUGCUGGACUGCAACUGACGUUGAGGCCCGAAAGCGUGGGGAGCAAACAGGAUUAGAUACCCGUGUAC